UUUUACCAUAAUCUUACGUUAAAUGUUAAUAAUUCUUUUGGAAUGUUAAUAUUUCUUUUGGAAUGCAGGUUUCAAAUGGCAAAAUAUAAUUGCUACAGCAAAUUAAGAAGAUUAAUAGGUUUAAAAUGCAGGUUUCAAAUGGUAACAAUACAACCUAGGAUAUAAUUUAUAAUUAAGAAGAUUAAUAGGUUUAAAAUGCAGGUUUCAAAUGGUAACAAUACAACCUAGGAUAUAAUUUCUAUAGCAAAUAAAGAAGAUUAAUAGGUUUAAAAUGAUUUCAAAUGGUAACUAGCUCUUACACAAUAUCAAAAGAACAACCUAGGAUAUAAUUUCUAUAACAAAUUAAGAAGAUUAAUAGGUUUAAAAUGAUUUCAAAUGGUAACAAUUUAUCUUAGCUCUUACACAAUAUCAAAAGAACAACCUAGGAUAUAAUUUCUACAGCAAAUAAGAAGAUUAAUAGG